rnacentral:rRNA from 1 species
GGGAAUCUGCCCUUUGGUUCGGAAUAACAGCUGGAAACGGCUGCUAAUACCGGAUGAUGACGAAAGUCCAAAGAUUUAUCGCCAGAGGAUGAGCCCGCGUUGGAUUAGGUAGUUGGUGGGGUAAAGGCCUACCAAGCCGACGAUCCAUAGCUGGUCUGAGAGGAUGAUCAGCCACACUGGGACUGAGACACGGCCCAGACUCCUACGGGAGGCAGCAGUGGGGAAUAUUGGACAAUGGGCGAAAGCCUGAUCCAGCAAUGCCGCGUGAGUGAUGAAGGCCCUAGGGUUGUAAAGCUCUUUUACCCGGGAAGAUAAUGACUGUACCGGGAGAAUAAGCCCCGGCUAACUCCGUGCCAGCAGCCGCGGUAAUACGGAGGGGGCUAGCGUUGUUCGGAAUUACUGGGCGUAAAGCGCACGUAGGCGGCUUUGUAAGUCAGAGGUGAAAGCCUGGAGCUCAACUCCAGAACUGCCUUUGAGACUGCAUCGCUUGAAUCCAGGAGAGGUCAGUGGAAUUCCGAGU